rnacentral:rRNA from 1 species
UACAGGGGGUGCAAACGUUGCUCGGAAUCAUUGGGCGUAAAGCGCACGUAGGCGGUUUGUUAUGUCGGAUGUGAAAGCCCUUGGCUCAACUGAGGAAGUGCAUCCGAAACUGGCAAGCUAGAGUACUAAAGAGGGUCGCGGGAAUUCCCGGUGUAGAGGUGAAAUUCGUAGAUAUCGGGAGGAACACCAGUGGCGAAGGCGACUCACUGGACACGUAUUGACGCUGAGGUGCGAAAGCGUGGGGAGCAAACAGG